AUUACUGGGCGUAAAGGGAGCGUAGGUGGCUCGAUAAGUCAGAUGUGAAAUCCCCGGGCUCAACCUGGGAACUGCAUCUGAUACUGUUGAGCUAGAGUAUGUGAGAGGAAGGUAGAAUUCCAGGUGUAGCGGUGAAAUGCGUAGAGAUCUGGAGGAAUACCGAUGGCGAAGGCAGCCUUCUGGCAUAAUACUGACACUGAGGCUCGAAAGCGUGGGUAGCAAACAGGAUUAGAUACCCUGGUAGUCCACGCCGUAAACGAUGUCUACUAGUCGUUGGGUCCCUUGAGGACUUAGUGACGCAGCUAACGCAAUAAGUAGACCGCCUGGGGAGUACGGCCGCAAGGUUAAAACUCAAAUGAAUUGACGGGGGCCCGCACAAGCGGUGGAGCAUGUGGUUUAAUUCGAUGCAACGCGAAGAACCUUACCUGGUCUUGACAUAUCUAGAAUCCUGCAGAGAUGCGGGAGUGCCUUCGGGAAUUAGAAUACAGGUGCUGCAUGGCUGUCGUCAGCUCGUGUCGUGAGAUGUUGGGUUAAGUCCCGCAACGAGCGCAACCCUUGUCCUUAGUUACCAGCGGGUUAAGCCGGGAACUCUAAGGAUACUGCCAGUGACAAACUGGAGGAAGGCGGGGACGACGUCAAGUCAUCAUGGCCCUUACGACCAGGGCUACACACGUGCUACAAUGGUAGGUACAGAGGGCAGCUACACAGCGAUGUGAUGCGAAUCUCAAAAAGCCUAUCGUAGUCCAGAUUGGAGUCUGCAACUCGACUCCAUGAAGUAGGAAUCGCUAGUAAUCGCGGAUCAGAAUGCCGCGGUGAAUACGUUCCCGGGCCUUGUACACACCGCCCGUCACACCAUGGGAGUUGAUUGCACCAGAAGUGGAUAGCUUAACCUUCGGGGGAGCGUUCACCACGGUGUGGCUGAUGACUGGGGUGAAGUCGUAACAAGGGUAACCGGUAA
rnacentral:rRNA from 1 species